CUCUUUCCCCAAGAAUCAUCAAAAGAGGGGAAAUCACAUAAAGACUGGGCAGAUGGUGGGUGCAGAUUUAGCUGAAGAGUUCAGAUCUUUGAGAAGGAGGUGCAUUCAUGACAACCAAGGUUAGAUGAUGUAUUGAGAUGGGCCUAUCCUUUGGGCCUCUUUCAGCAUAAGCUUUCAAGCAUUGCUUUUAGGGGAGGGGCCACUAUGAGUCUUAAGUCAUAAACGGGGAUAAAGGAAGGAAAUAAAGAUUGUAAAAGGAGAGGAGGUUAAUAGAGGUGUAUAUAGAGUAGGAACCCCAACAGUUAAGAUCCCAGGUACCCACCCCUAUGAAAUUUACGCAUGAGCCCUUGAAGGAAGAGGGUGACCAGUGGGACUUAUGAAUGGGAAUAACUCCUCAUGACCACCUGGUAUUUCUCCGCGAGGUUUUUUGCUGUUGGAGACUGACUCCUAGGUGGGAGCAGCUGCUAUGGUCAUUACUCAGCUUCAACCCAAGGACCCAGAUGCUUGGUUAUUGGUGAUCCUGCUUUAAGUCUUAGAUGAAUGAUUUGAUGUCUGUAAAAUUGUACCUUCCUUUUAAACUUAAUUUUUAUCUUACAGCAGCAGCCAGUAAGGAGGAGAAGGGGAGAGAGCUCAUUCGAUAUUAACAACAUUGUCAUCCCAAUGUCUGUUGCUGCAACAACUCGCGUAGAGAAACUGCAAUACAAGGAAAUCCUUACGCCCAGCUGGCGGGAGGUUGAUCUUCAGUCUCUGAAGGGGAGUCCUGAUGAGGAGAAUGAGGAGAUUGAGGACCUAUCCGACGCAGCCUUCGCCGCCCUGCAUGCCAAAUGUGAGGAGAUGGAGAGGGCACGGUGGCUGUGGACCACGAGUGUGCCACCCCAGCGGCGGGGCAGCAGGUGAUGGGGCAGGCUUGGGUCCCCAGGGCCUGUGGAGAGAGGGUGGACAGGGAGUUUGGGCCCUACUUGAGUCCAUGGAAUUGCUACUGCCUCUUGGUUGCUCAUCAUACUCAUCUACUGGCAGUGGCAAAGAGCUCAGAAUUUCCUUGGUGUUUGUUGGAACUAGUGGAGAUAUAUGGAACUAGUGGAGAUAUAAGGAGCCAAGUGCUAGAUCCUUGCUGAGAAGUCACUAUUUAAUUCGGAAUUCCCAUGAUCUGUGGCAUUUGGAAGACAGUUGGGGGGGUCAUGGUGAUUCAACCCGGGGAGCUUGGAAGGCCUCGCUGCAAGUUAACCUUCCUUUGGACAGUGGCUUUGUGAUGCCACUUGAAGAAACUGCCCCCCCUUAACGUCCAUCACUACCCUGUCUCCAUUUAUUGUUAACAGUGGCAGAAACCCUCGGGAUUCUCAAGUAGAAAGUUUUGGGAGCUCUUACUUUUACUUUUUUUUCUUUGACUACAGUUUUCAAAGUCUACACGAAUCUCCCUAACCUCCUGAAUUCACUAGGCACUUUGCUAUGGACUCACCUGGCAUUGUUCAGCCAUGCUUUUUUCUUGGGAUGGUAAAUGUUGUAUACCUACCCCUCCAGAGAAUCGUGGGAAGAAACGGGAGUUGCUGGAUCCUAAGGAAAAUCUGUUGGUCUUUGUUUGCCUCAACUCCUCCAGUGGGGAUGCUUUUUUCAUGCCCUCUACCCCCAUAAGUAAACAUUUCCCAGGCACUCAGAUUUGCAUUCCUUGGUGUGCAGGUCCUACAGGUCAUCAGACGGCCGGACAACCCCCCAGCUGGGCAGUGCCAACCCCUCCACCCCCCAGCCUGCCUCCCCUGAUGUCAGCAGUAGCCACUCUUUGUCAGAAUACUCCCAUGGUCAGUCCCCUAGGAGCCCCAUUAGCCCGGAACUGCACUCAGCACCCCUCACCCCUGUGGCUCGGGACACUCCGCGACACUUAGCCAGUGAGGAUACCCGUUGUUCCACACCAGAGCUGGGGCUGGAUGAACAGUCUGUCCAGCCCUGGGAGCGGCGGACCUUCCCCCUGGCGCACAGUCCCCAGGCGGAGUGUGAGGACCAGCUGGAUGCACAGGAGCGAGCAGCCCGCUGCACUCGACGCACCUCAGGCAGCAAGACUGGCCGGGAGACAGAGGCAGCGCCCACCUCGCCUCCCACUGUCCCCCUCAAGAGUCGGCAUCUGGUGGCAGCAGCCACAGCUCAGCGCCCGACUCACAGAUGAGCGGGAGACAGCCAUCUAAACAGACUCACUAACUAUUGGCAUUAAAGCUUCAGAAAUCUCUGCGUUUGAUAUUCAAACAUCAUAUGCCGGAAAUUUUCACAGUUUUUAGUGAACUUAAGGAAUUUAGAUCCUACUUUGGUAUUUUUUUUUCUUGUUUUAAUUUUUGUUUUGUUUUUGUUUCCAUGUUUUCUUGUCACACACCUGAGCACUUCCUCCCGUUGGCAAACAGAAGUUCAGGAUGAGACCCUGCUGGCCUGGUCCUGGCACAUCCUCUGCACUGUUGAAUCACUGGACUUACUGAUCUUAGAUGACCACCCCCUCCCUCACACCUGUGGGCAGGACAGAACAGCCUGGCGGGCAGAGGGCUACAGUUUAGCAUGGCCUUCUUGAGCUAGGGUGGAAUGGGGCAGGGUGCUCUGGACUCUUACCCCCUCCCCUCCCAUCUGUGGCUUGGCUCCGCUGUGGCCCUCCUGGCUGGGUCCCCUUGGUUUUUCGUGCUGGAACAUCCCCACCAGAGCCUCUCUGCCAUAACUGCCAGCUGCUCUCCCCGAGUGCUCAGCUGGCACAACACCUUUCCUUUCUCACCCAGAACUUAGAGACUGAUUUUUUGUUUCAUCUGCAUUUGGUCUUCUCUGUUUUGACUCUUUCACUGCAGUAACCUGGCUGUGGCUGCUCAGGUUCCCCUCCUCAUGCCCCUUGGUACCCUUCCCUGUCUGCUCUCCCAUGCCAUGUACACACCCACAACCCGUCCUUCCACUUGGAAUGUUUUUACCACCUAUCCUGAUCUUUGAAGGUAGGGUUAGGACUACUUAACCUCUAUUCCCACUCCCCUGCAAACUGGGGGUUGUGGGAAGUGAGCAGCCAUCUCCCUGUGUGAUUUUUUUUUUUUUUCCCUCUGAUUCACUUUGCCAUGUUUCCUUCACAUCCAGAUCCCUGUCGGUGUUAGUUCCACUCUUGGUCUUUCACGCUCCCCUUGCCUGUGGAACAUUGUCUGGUCCUAGCUGUGGUUCCCAUUGUUCCCCCUUCACCCUUCUCUGUUAACCUUGUGCCUGUCUUCUGUAUGAUCACAUCACCAAAAAGGGGGAGGGGGGAGAAGACUCUUUUUUUUUGGCCAUUUUGUAAUCGUAUAAAAAUAGUAGACAACUGCUUAAUGGUUGGGGUUUUUUCACAAUUUUCAACAUUAGUGAUUUUUUUUUUCUGUUUGCAAGUUAAAGGGUUUGUCAUUGUUUCUUUAAAAAAAAAUACAAUAAUGCACCAUAUCCCUAUGCAUAAAGUGCUUCUUCUAUUUAUAAGGUUGAAAAUUCUGAAUAACCCUUUUAGCAUUGAAAAAAAAACAAAAACAAAAAAUGAAAAAAAAAAACAACCUUGUAUUUUGUAAAUAUUUUCUUUUCCUGCUUUGGAGCUGUGUAAUGGCAGCGAAACAUGUAGCUGUCUUUGUUCUAUAGAAAUGCUUUUCUUCAGAGAAGCUGAUCUUUGUUAAUGUCUUGAUUCUGUUCGCAAAGCACAGACUAGUGCUUAAAAAAAAAAAAGAAGGAAA
rnacentral:lncRNA from 1 species